UAACCAACCCACUCCAGUGUUCUUGCCUGGAGAAUCCCAGGGACGGGGGAGCCUGGUGGGCUGCCGUCUAUGGGGUCGCACAGAGUCGGACACAACUGAAGUGACUUAGCAACAGCAAAAGAAUCAAAGAGGUUGAGUCAUAAGGGACCAUUAGGUUUAAAAAAUUCUUUUCACUCCUUAGACAACUGGCCUGAAUGACUUCACAGCUUGAGCUGCUGAAUCACAUUGCAUUAUGUACAUGGAAACACUCAUAAUCUAUGGAGAAGUUGCACCUUGAAGAGGCAUUACACUAUGAUUAGAUCAUAGUUCAUAUAAAAAAUGACUUCAGCAGGAGACUACUGGCUUAUGAAUAUAAAUAUUCAAAGUAACAGAAUUAAAAUACUGCUUUUUCUAAUAAAAAGGUUCUGAUCAUCUCAUUUUGAUAUCUUCAAGUCAAGGCUACUUUGCAGGAACGUCAAUCACGUGAAAUGAGACCUUCCUAGGACUCGGCUUCCUCCUGGGACCCCUUGCAAAGGAGCAGCUAAUGAUUCCGCUUGACCCUCAAGAGCCCACAGUCGCUGAGCCAGACCACCAGCCUUUUCUGUCGCCUCCCCCACCCCUGGAGUCUUCCAUUAUUCAGAGAAGCAAUCAGCAAAUCCUGUCUCAACCACUGCAGGGGUUCCAAAGCCAAAUCAGAGGACCACCGUCACGUCCCCACCAUCACCUGUCUGGUCUGAGCCAUCAUCACCCAUCACUGCCUCACCAGUGCCCCCUGCUCCUUCCCCCCAGCAGAUCCAGGGCAGGCCUCUGAAGGUGGAAGUCACAGUGAGUCACUCUCUGACCUGAUGGCCACCAGCCGACUUCAGACCUAAAGUUCUUGCUGGGGCUUAGGGCUGUGGCUCUGACGCCCCCUCUCACUCUCCAACCAACUAUUCCUGAAACCCUCCCUGGAGCACCAGCCUCGGGCCCCUGCUCUGCAUCCUGUGGCCUGGAACAUUCUCCCGUAGAGGGUCAUAUGCCCACUAGACCCACUAGCUCUCUGCUCCAGUGUCACUCCCCUGCCUCCCCCGCCACCCAUCUAAAACGCAACCCCUUAGCUGUGUCUUUCUCUUCCCUUAGCUGGUUUUGUUUUUCUUCAUAAUCGUUAUAACUUCCCAUUAUGUUUUUCCAUCCUCCUGAUAGAAUCUACACACAGUAAAAUUCACUCCUUUUAAUACACGGUUUUCUGAGCAUUGAGAGAAACUUCAGUCCUUUAACCAUGGCCACAGUCAAGAUCUGAAACAGCUCCAUCACUCCCCAGGUUCACUCAAGCCCCCUUGGAGUCAAUCCUUCCACACCUGGUCCUCAGCAAUCUGUUUUCUGUUCUUGUAGUUUUGCCUUUUCCAGAACAUCAUAUAAAUGUUGGAGUCAUAUAAUA